AUAUUAUCACGAUACUUGAUAUCAUGAUCCAGUAUUAUUGCGAUUUUAAACACAUUGCGAUAUUCCGCGAUAUAUUGCAAUUCAUUAUCUAUUUUCCCAACUUCAAAUGAUGUCACCAAAAGGAUAACUCUGUGUCUUUCUGGCUU